rnacentral:rRNA from 1 species
AGAGUUUGAUCCUGGCUCAGGACGAACGCUGGCGGCACGCUUAACACAUGCAAGUCGAACGAGAGAAGAGAAGCUUGCUUUUCUGAUCUAGUGGCGGACGGGUGAGUAACACGUGAGCAAUCUGCCUUUCAGAGGGGGAUACCGAUUGGAAACGAUCGUUAAUACCGCAUAAUAUAAUUGAACCGCAUGAUUUGAUUAUCAAAGAUUUAUCGCUGAAAGAUGAGCUCGCGUCUGAUUAGCUAGUUGGUAAGGUAACGGCUUACCAAGGCGACGAUCAGUAGCCGGACUGAGAGGUUGAUCGGCCACAUUGGGACUGAGACACGGCCCAGACUCCUACGGGAGGCAGCAGUGGGGAAUAUUGCACAAUGGAGGAAACUCUGAUGCAGCGAUGCCGCGUGAGGGAAGAAGGUUUUAGGAUUGUAAACCUCUGUCUUCAGGGACGAAAAAAAAGACGGUACCUGAGGAGGAAGCUCCGGCUAACUACGUGCCAGCAGCCGCGGUAAUACGUAGGGAGCGAGCGUUGUCCGGAAUUACUGGGUGUAAAGGGAGCGUAGGCGGGAUCGCAAGUCAGAUGUGAAAACUAUGGGCUUAACCCAUAAACUGCAUUUGAAACUGUGGUUCUUGAGUGAAGUAGAGGUAAGCGGAAUUCCUAGUGUAGCGGUGAAAUGCGUAGAUAUUAGGAGGAACAUCAGUGGCGAAGGCGGCUUACUGGGCUUUAACUGACGCUGAGGCUCGAAAGCGUGGGGAGCAAACAGGAUUAGAUACCCUGGUAGUCCACGCCGUAAACGAUGAUUACUAGGUGUGGGGGGACUGACCCCUUCCGUGCCGGAGUUAACACAAUAAGUAAUCCACCUGGGGAGUACGACCGCAAGGUUGAAACUCAAAGGAAUUGACGGGGGCCCGCACAAGCAGUGGAGUAUGUGGAUUAAUUCGAAGCAACGCGAAGAACCUUACCAGGUCUUGACAUCGUAUGCAUAGCUCAGAGAUGAGUGAAAUCUCUUCGGAGACAUAUAGACAGGUGGUGCAUGGUUGUCGUCAGCUCGUGUCGUGAGAUGUUGGGUUAAGUC